CCCCACCCCCGCACCUCGCCUUAUUUGGGACCUGCUUCCUGACAUCGGUGUGAGUGGGCUUGUGCACCAGCGGUUACUCACCGGGUAUUGCCUGGGCCUAGGUCAAAGAGAAAUUUCCCCUAAAUGAAAAUGCUCCUGAAAUUAACCAAAGGUUCAACAUCUUUGUCCUGGAAAAUGCAGUCAUUUCAAGCUACUGAAAGAGUCUCCAUGAUCAAUAAAACUCUGCUAUAGAACGGAAGAGGACAGAGGAGCGGUCAUUGUAUUUGUCAGUGAGGUCACUGGUGUCCUUUGCCAGAGAAGUUUCAGUGGAGCAGAGCCUCCUACCUGUUAGGCCAAGGUAGGCUGUUGAGCUAUGACUGGUUGCAGGUGUGUUCAAAACUAAGCCCUGAAGUUCUUGGCAUGGUGGUUGGGGUGGUGGUGUUGGCACCUAACGUGACCUUGAUUGUUGUCCUCAGGAUACCAAAUAAAUACAGUAAUUCUGUCUGGUUGCCAUGACGUGGAAAAGUUUGGAAAGCACAGCUACAGAGUGAUAGCAGUGGAAGUCAAAUUGCAAUUCAGGAGGACUGAGUGGAGAAAUGGAGGUGGAGGCUGAGACAAUCAACACUCAAACCAGCAAAGCUGGUGAACCCUCCUCCAGAGCCUGCUCCUGUGACAGGAUCUUUUGGGAAGUUUCAGGAGGACAAAUAACACCCUUCACUGCAGUAGGUGAGAGGAGAUGAGUGGAAGAAACAGUCACAGUGGAAUCUACGUAGGAAAGUAGAAGACUUCAAACUGAAGACCUGAGUGCUCACCAAAGCAGUAGGACUGAGGAAGGACACUAGGUCUCUCCAUCCCAUUGUCACUACCCUGUCCCUUGUGACCACCUCCCAGCCCAGACUUAGAAUGGAGAACUUGCAGCAGCUUCCCAGCAAGCAUCCUGCCUCCAGUCUUGGCCCCCUCCAUUCCAUUCUGAAUUCUGCAGCCAUCAGGCUCUUUCUAAAAUGCCAUUCUGUGGCCAUCAUUAAUAAAUCCACAAAUAACAAGUGCUGGAGGGGCUGUGGAGAAAAGGGAACCCUCCUGCACUGCUGGUGGGAAUGUAAACUGGU